rnacentral:rRNA from 1 species
CCAGCAGCCGCGGUAAUUCCAGCUCCAAUAGCGUAUAUUAAAGUUGUUGCAGUUAAAAAGCUCGUAGUUGGAUUUCUGGUAGAAGGUUAGAGCGCACCUGCGUGAUGCUCGCGUCUUCUGCCAUCCUUCUGUUAACCUUUCUUGACAUUGACUUGUCGGUUUGGGGCUCAGAUAUUUUACCUUGAGAAAAUUAGAGUGUUUCAGGCAGGCUUGUGCCCGGAUACAUUAGCAUGGAAUAAUAGAACAGGACUUUAGCCUCUUCUGUUGGUCUGAGGGGUUGAAGUAAUGAUUAAUAGGGAUAGUUGGGGGCAUUAGUACUUAACUGUCAGAGGUGAAAUUCUCGGAUUUGUUAAAGACUAACUUAUGCGAAAGCAUUUGCCAAGGAUGUUUUCAUUAAUCAAGAACGAAAGU